rnacentral:ncRNA from 1 species
GGAACCAUAUAACAUACUUUCUGUUGCCUGAACGAUAGUUAAUAGUAGCAAUAUUAUUAUUGCUGUGACUUGAUAAUGUUUGCUAUGUUUCAGUCCUUUGUUGACAUUUCAGUCAUUUCCGUUCUUAGUUGGUGGAGCGAUUUGUCUGGUUAAUUCCGAUAACGAACGAGACUCUGGCAUGCUAACUAUUUACGCGACCCCCGAGCGGUCGGCGUCCAACUUCUUCGAGGGACACGUGGCGUUCAGCCACCCGAGAUUGAGCAAUAACAGGUCUGUGAUGCCCUUAGAUGUCCGGGGCCGCACGCGCGCUACACCGACUGGCUCAGCUUGCGCCCACCCUCCGCCGGCAGGCGCGGGUAACCCCUUGAACCCCAUUCGUGAUGGGUAUCUGGGAUUGCAAUUCUUCCCCGUGAAGGAGGAAUUCCCAGUAAGUGCGGGUCAUAGGCUCGCGUUGAUUAAGCCCCUGCC